rnacentral:rRNA from 1 species
UUAACGGAGAGUUUGAUCCUGGCUCAGGACGAACGCUGGCGGCGUGCCUAAUACAUGCAAGUCGAGCGGAGAGAAGGGAGCUUGCUCCCGGACGUUAGCGGCGGACGGGUGAGUAUCACGUGGGCAACCUGCCCCUUAGACUGGGAUAACUCCGGGAAACCGGAGCUAAUACCGGAUAAUCCCUUUCUCCACCUGGAGAGAGGGUGAAAGAUGGCUUCGGCUAUCACUAGGGGAUGGGCCCGCGGCGCAUUAGCUAGUUGGUAAGGUAACGGCUUACCAAGGCGACGAUGCGUAGCCGACCUGAGAGGGUGAUCGGCCACACUGGGACUGAGACACGGCCCAGACUCCUACGGGAGGCAGCAGUAGGGAAUCUUCCGCAAUGGACGAAAGUCUGACGGAGCAACGCCGCGU